rnacentral:rRNA from 1 species
GACGAACGCUGGCGGCGUGCUUAACACAUGCAAGUCGAACGGAAAGGCCCUGCUUUUGUGGGGUGCUCGAGUGGCGAACGGGUGAGUAACACGUGAGUAACCUGCCCUUGACUUUGGGAUAACUUCAGGAAACUGGGGCUAAUACCGGAUAGGAGCUCCUGCUGCAUGGUGGGGGUUGGAAGUUUCGGCGGUUGGGGAUGGACUCGCGGCUUAUCAGCUUGUUGGUGGGGUAGUGGCUUACCAAGGCUUUGACGGGUAGCCGGCCUGAGAGGGUGACCGGCCACAUUGGGACUGAGAUACGGCCCAGACUCCUACGGGAGGCAGCAGUGGGGAAUAUUGCACAAUGGGCGGAAGCCUGAUGCAGCAACGCCGCGUGCGGGAUGACGGCCUUCGGGUUGUAAACCGCUUCCGCCUGUGACGAAGCGUGAGUGACGGUAAUGGGUAAAGAAGCACCGGCUAACUACGUG